rnacentral:tRNA from 1 species
GCCUGGGUCGCUCAAUUGGUUAAGCAUCUGACUUCGGCUCGGGUCAUGAUCUCGCUGUUCGUGGGUUCGAGCCCCACGUCAGGCU